GACGUAGGUGGCAAACGUUAUCCGGAAUUAUUGGGCGUAAAGGGUGCGUAGAUGGCAUGAUAAGUUAUUGGUGGUAAAUCGAGGCUCAACCUCGUGGAAACUGGUAAUACUGUCAUACUUGAGUGCAGAAGAGGUUAACGGAACUCCCUGUGGAGCGGUAAAAUGUGAAGAUAUAGGGAAGAACACCAAUAACGGCGAAGGCAGUUAACUAUUCUGCUACUGACAUUGAGGCACGAAAGCGUGGGGAGCAAAACGG
rnacentral:rRNA from 1 species